rnacentral:rRNA from 1 species
AUACGUAGGGUGCAAGCGUUAAUCGGAAUUACUGGGCGUAAAGCGUGCGCAGGCGGUUUUGUAAGACAGUGGUGAAAUCCCCGGGCUCAACCUGGGAACUGCCAUUGUGACUGCAAGGCUGGAGUGCGGCAGAGGGGGAUGGAAUUCCGCGUGUAGCAGGGAAAUGCGUAGAUAUGCGGAGGAACACCGAUGGCGAAGGCAAUCCCCUGGGCCUGCACUGACGCUCAUGCACGAAAGCGUGGGGAGCAAACAGGAUUAGAUACCCUGGUAGUCCACGCCCUAAACGAUGUCAACUGGUUGUUGGGGAUUUAUUUUCUCAGUAACGAAGCUAACGCGUGAAGUUGACCGCCUGGGGAGUACGGCCGCAAGGUUAAAACUCAAAUGAAUUGACGGGG